GACGAACGCUGGCGGCGUGCCUAAUACAUGCAAGUCGAACGCUUCUUUCCUCCCGAGUGCUUGCACUCAAUUGGAAAGAGGCGUGGCGGACGGGUGAGUAACACGUGGGUAACCUACCCAUCAGAGGGGGAUAACACUUGGAAACAGGUGCUAAUACCGCAUAGCAGUUUAUGCCGCAUGGCAUAAGAGUGAAAGGCGCUUUCGGGUGUCGCUGAUGGAUGGACCCGCGGUGCAUUAGCUAGUUGGUGAGGUAACGGCUCACCAAGGCCACGAUGCAUAGCCGACCUGAGAGGGUGAUCGGCCACACUGGGACUGAGACACGGCCCAGACUCCUACGGGAGGCAGCAGUAGGGAAUCUUCGGCAAUGGACGAAAGUCUGACCGAGCAACGCCGCGUGAGUGAAGAAGGUUUUCGGAUCGUAAAACUCUGUUGUUAGAGAAGAACAAGGACGUUAGUAACUGAACGUCCCCUGACGGUAUCUAACCAGAAAGCCACGGCUAACUACGUG
rnacentral:rRNA from 1 species